rnacentral:rRNA from 1 species
AACGUAGGAGGCGAGCGUUAUCCGGAGUUACUGGGCGUAAAGCGCGUGUAGGUGGUUGGAUACGUCUGCUGUGAAAUCCCCCGGCUUAACCUGGGAACUGCGUCUGAUACUGGAAGGCUUGAGUAUGGGAGAGGGAUGUAGAAUUCCAGGUGUAGCGGUGAAAUGCGUAGAUAUCUGGAGGAAUACCGGUGGCGAAGGCGGCAUCCUGGACCAAUACUGACGCUCAGGUGCGAAAGCGUGGGGAGCAAACAGG